GUGAGGAAUUUUCCGCAAUGGGCGAAAGCCUGACGGAGCAAUGCCGCGUGAAGGAUGAAGGCCUAUGGGUUGUAAACUUCUUUUCUUAGAGAAGAAUAUUGACGGUAUCUGAGGAAUAAGCAUCGGCUAACUCUGUGCCAGCAGCCGCGGUAAGACAGAGGAUGCAAGCGUUAUCCGGCAUGAUUGGGCGUAAAGCGUCUGUAGGUGGCUUCAAAAGUCUCCUGUCAAAGAUCAGGGCUUAACCCUGGGCCGGCAGGCGAAACGCUGAGGCUAGAGUUUGGUAGGGGCAGAGGGAAUUCCCGGUGGAGCGGUGAAAUGCGUAGAGAUCGGGAGGAACACCAAAGGCGAAAGCACUCUGCUGGGCCACAACUGACACUGAGAGACGAAAGCGAGGGGAGCAAAAGGGAUUAGAUACCCCGGUAGUCC
rnacentral:rRNA from 1 species